UGGUACUGGCGGGUGCUUACCAUGCAAGUCGAACGCGCAGCCUUUGGGAGCUUGCUCCUGGGGUGGGCGAGUGGCGAACGGGUGCGUAACACGUGGGAACCUGGCCUGAAGUGGGGGAUAACAGCUGGAAACGGUUGCUAAACCCGCAUAGUCUGACGAGGCGAGAGCCUUGUGAGUAAAACUCCGGUGCUUCAGGGUGGGCCCGCGGCCUAUCAGGUAGUUGGUGAGGUAAAGGCUCACCAAGCCGAUGACGGGUAGGGGGCGUGAGAGCGUGGCCCCCCACACGGGAACUGAGACACGGUCCCGACGCCUACGGGCGGCAGCAGUGAGGAAUCUUGCGCAAUGGGGGAAACCCUGACGCAGCGACACCGCGUGCGGGAAGAAGGCCUUCGGGUCGUAAACCGCUUUUCUGGGGGACGAGGAAGGACGGUACCCCAGGAAUAAGUCCCGGCUAACUACGUGCCAGCAGCCGCGGUAAAACGUAGGGGGCAAGCGUUAUCCGGAAUCACUGGGCGUAAAGGGCGUCUAGGCGGCCUAUUAGGUCCCGUGUGAAAUCUCCCGGCUCAACUGGGAGGGUGCACGGGAAACCGGUUGGCUAGAGACUCGGAGGGGGGUGCGGAAUUCCCGGUGGAGCGGUGAAAUGCGUUGAUAUCGGGAGGAACACCCGAGGCGAAGGCGGCACCCUGGUCGAGGUCUGACGCUGAAGCGCGAAAGCGUGGGGAGCGAACGGGAUUAGAUACCCCGGUAGUCCACGCUGUAAACGAUGACAACUAGGUGCUGGACACCCAAGGGUGUUCGGUGCCGCAGCCAACGCGUUAAGUUGUCCGCCUGGGGAGUACGGCCGCAAGGCUAAAACUCAAAGGAAUUGACGGGGGCCCGCACAAGCAGCGGAGCGUGUGGUUUAAUUCGAUGCAACGCGAAGACCCUUACCUGGCCUUGACAUGCAAGUGGUAGGAGACCGAAAGGCGACCGACCCUCGGAGCUUGCACAGUGCUGCAUGGCUGUCGUCAGCUCGU
rnacentral:rRNA from 1 species